CUAUGGAUCUCAGAUUAAGUAAGACUACCCGCCAAU
rnacentral:rRNA from 1 species